ACUUAGUGGAUGUGUGCUAUGCAGGUAAAAGUUACAUUGUACUGGACUGAAAAGAUUGAAGCAUAUGGAUUCUGGCAUGAUUCAUUAGCCCAGUUUGGGCAGUUUGAAUAUAUGUAUUGUUGCUAUUGAUAUGUUAUUCUUUUCUAUUAACCCCCUUUUUGAUGUAGAUAUCUUGUUUUAUUUUUAAUUUAUUUUUUAUGCAGAGGUUAUGAUUUUAGCA
rnacentral:misc_RNA from 1 species